AUUAGCUAGUUGGUGAGGUAAUGGCUCACCAAGGCGACGAUCCCUAGCUGGUCUGAGAGGAUGAUCAGCCACACUGGAACUGAGACACGGUCCAGACUCCUACGGGAGGCAGCAGUGGGGAAUAUUGCACAAUGGGCGAAAGCCUGAUGCAGCCAUGCCGCGUGUAUGAAGAAGGCCUUCGGGUUGUAAAGUACUUUCAGUUGUGAGGAAGGGUGUGUAGUUAAUAGCUGCGCAUCUUGACGUUAGCAACAGAAGAAGCACCGGCUAACUCCGUGCCAGCAGCCGCGGUAAUACGGAGGGUGCGAGCGUUAAUCGGAAUUACUGGGCGUAAAGCGCAUGCAGGUGGUUCAUUAAGUCAGAUGUGAAAGCCCGGGGCUCAACCUCGGAACUGCAUUUGAAACUGGUGAACUAGAGUGCUGUAGAGGGGGGUAGAAUUUCAGGUGUAGCGGUGAAAUGCGUAGAGAUCUGAAGGAAUACCAGUGGCGAAGGCGGCCCCCUGGACAGACACUGACACUCAGAUGCGAAAGCGUGGGGAGCAAACAGGAUUAGAUACCC
rnacentral:rRNA from 1 species